rnacentral:rRNA from 1 species
UACGUAGGGUGCAAGCGUUAAUCGGAAUUACUGGGCGUAAAGCGUGCGCAGGCGGUGAUGUAAGACAGUUGUGAAAUCCCCGGGCUCAACCUGGGAACUGCAUCUGUGACUGCAUUGCUGGAGUGCGGCAGAGGGGGAUGGAAUUCCGCGUGUAGCAGUGAAAUGCGUAGAUAUGCGGAGGAACACCGAUGGCGAAGGCAGUCCCCUGGGCCUGUACUGACGCUCAUGCACGAAAGCGUGGGGAGCAAACAGG